UGCUAUUUCUUCACCCCAGGCCU
rnacentral:piRNA from 1 species